rnacentral:rRNA from 1 species
GGUAGUCCACGCCGUAAACGAUGUCGACUUGGAGGUUGUGCCCUUGAGGCGUGGCUUCCGGAGCUAACGCGUUAAGUCGACCGCCUGGGGAGUACGGCCGCAAGGUUAAAACUCAAAUGAAUUGACGGGGGCCCGCACAAGCGGUGGAGCAUGUGGUUUAAUUCGAUGCAACGCGAAGAACCUUACCUACUCUUGACAUCCAGAGAAUUUAGCAGAGAUGCUUUAGUGCCUUCGGGAACUCUGAGACAGGUGCUGCAUGGCUGUCGUCAGCUCGUGUUGUGAAAUGUUGGGUUAAGUCCCGCAACGAGCGCAACCCUUAUCCUUUGUUGCCAGCACGCAAUGGUGGGAACUCAAAGGAGACUGCCGGUGAUAAACCGGAGGAAGGUGGGGAUGACGUCAAGUCAUCAUGGCCCUUACGAGUAGGGCUACACACGUGCUACAAUGGCGCAUACAAAGAGAAGCGACCUCGCGAGAGCAAGCGGACCUCAUAAAGUGCGUCGUAGUCCGGAUUGGAGUCUGCAACUCGACUCCAUGAAGUCGGAAUCGCUAGUAAUCGUAAAUCAGAAUGCUACGGUGAAUACGUUCCCGGGCCUUGUACACACCGCCCGUCACACCAUGGGAGUGGGUUGCAAAAGAAGUAGGUAGCUUAACCUUCGGGAGGGCGCUUACCACUUUGUGAUUCAUGACUGGGGUGAAGUCGUAACAAGGUAACCGUAGGGGAACCUGC